CCCCCACUAGGUUAGGACCCCCUGUCCUACUCUCACAGGACCCUGAACUUUUCCUGUCUAGCCCAGUGGCUAUAUACUUGUCUGAUUAUUUGUUUAUGUGUCUCCUCCCCUGAGGGUCCCAUGGAGGCAGGGUCUGUGUUUACUUUCCCCACCAUUUGAGUUUAGCACAGUGCCUGCAGAAAGUAUGCCCUCAAUAAAUUUUUGUCGAAUGAAUGAGUUUGGGACUGACUGAUUUAAAAGGGAGUGAAUCAGAAGUCAGAGUGUAAAUGUUACAAAAAGUGGCUCCUUAUCUAGUAAUUCAAACUGUAUUAAUUAAUCAUCUAGUAAUAUUAUUAGCAAGUUCUAAGCUGAAUAAAACAUUAUUGCUACAAACAAUGGCUAAUAAAUCCCCUUCCUAUAAUAGAAUCAGUUCUCUGGGCAUGAAGGUAAAUUACUUCUGUUCUAGGCAAAAGCUGAUUUUCCAGGAGGUUAAGUUUCUGAAGUUCUCCCUUGCAGAACCCCUUCCCAGGCCCAGGCAAUGUGUACACUGGGUCAGAUGGUUUUUGUAAAAUUGGCAAAAGGGAUUUUAAAUCACAAUUACUUGAGGCCUCUGACUUUCCUUUUGUCAUCUUGUGGGGGAUUAGAGUGGCCAAGGGUAUCCUGGGGCUCUGGCCAAGGGGAAGUUGAGUUGGGGACAUAUUUAGUUUGACUUUUGUGGGAUACAUUUAUGUGAUUCAUAGACAAUUCUGUGUAUAGUUAAGUCAUUUCUACUAGUCCCAUUGUCAGAAUGGCUUCUGGGAAUACCCCUGCUUUCCACUGUGACAACUCACCUGGUAUUGUGACACAAGGUGAUGGCCAAUAUCAACAAGGAUCCUUCUGAAUCACAUGCUUUGGAGCUGUAGGUGUGGAGUUAUUGGUGGUGGCUUCUGUCUUAUCCCUGUAUCAUCUGAAAUACCCGGAGGGACUUCUCUUGUGGAUGAGAGGGGUACAAACGCUUUGCUUGUGGCAUCAGCACAAUCUCCAUGGCAGAGACAUCUCACUGGGCACCUUCCGUGCAAGUCACCCCUCCCUGCUUCCUUGUCCUUUUGAUAUCACCUGUUGGAAUGUGACUCUUAGAAUCCAUAGGCCAAAAGGCUUGCUGCUCUCUCUUCAAGAUUCAAAACAAAUCUUCAAAACUGUGCCCAGAAAAAACAUUAUAGUAAUAAAAGGAAGAUAACAGAAUGAGAAGGAGGCAGAGAGAGAAGAAAGGGGGAAGAAUAUUAAGGAUGGGGUUUAAGAAGAUUAGGGAAAAUGAUGAUGAUGGUAGUAGAUGGAUGGUUGAGAAAGAUGCAGAAAAGAAAACAAAUCUGAGAUCUUCCUUUGCCAGCUAUGCAUGUGUGGAUUCGGGUCACAAUAGGACACUAAUGAGAAUCCUUAUCCAGAGUUGGUUUCAUGUCAGGUGCUAAGGUAAGGACAUCACAUGCAUCAUCUCUCACCUGGAUCAUGGUAGUCGUUUCUUAAUUGGUUUCCUUGUCUCCACCCUUACCCUCCUUAAGUGUAUUCUCAACCCAGCAGCCAGAGAGAUUCUAUUAAAACACGUGUCAUGCCGUGCCACCCUUGUGCUCAAAACCCUUCAGUCUCCUACUCUCUGACCUCAUUUUCCUCCACUGUGCUCCACCUUCGGUUGACUCCAGCCAUACUCACUGUUCCUCAAACAUUCAGGCUUGCUUCUGCCUCAGGGCCUCUGUGCAGACUGUUCCCCCUGCCUGGAAGGCUGUCCCCCUGGUGCCUACCUGUCACUUUCAUGUCCAUAGAGUCACCUUAUCACUCAGGCUCUUGGUCACUCCAUCUAAAAUGAAAGCUCUCCCCAAUGCUGCCUAGCUCUUUCCUUGUAACAUGAUAUAUAAUUAUAUAUAAUUAAAUAUAUACAUGAUAUCUAUUUUUUUUUUUGUCUAUCUUUUUCCUCUGGAAUGUAAGCUCUAGGGCAAAGAUUUUGUUUGCUCACUGCUGUAUCCCCUGUUCAAGGAUAGUGCCUGGCACAUAGUAAGAGUAUACUAAAUAUUUGUUCAACAAAUUACUUCAUGAGGUAAGGAGGUAGGUGCUGUUUUUUUUUUUUUUUUUUUUGAGACAGAGUUUUGCUCUUGUCACCCAGACUAGAGCGCAGUGGCGCAAUCUUGGCUCACUGCAACCUCUGCCUCCUGGGUUCAGCUAUUCUCCUGCUUCAGCCUCCCGAGUAGCUGGGAUUACAGGUGCCCGCCACCACCCCCGGCUAAUUUUUGUAUUUUUAGUAGAGAUGAGUUUUCACCAUGUUGGCCAGGCUGAUCUCGAACUCCUGACCUCAGGUGAUCUACCUGCCUCGGCCUCCCAAAGUGCUGAGAUUACAGGCGCGAGCCACCACGCCCGGCUGGUGCUAUUAUUAAGCACAUUUUAUAGAUGAUAAAAUUUGGAUUUACAGGUGUAAAGUAACUUGCCCAAGAUCGUAUGGUUAAGUGAAAGAGCAAAUGUUGAACCCAGCCAUGGCUGUUUUUUCUUUUUUCUUUUUUUUUUUCUGAUGGAGUUUUGCUCUGUCUCCCAGGCUAGAGUGCAGUGGCGCGAUCUUGGCUCACUGCAAUCUCUGCCUCUCAGGUUUCAAGCGAUUCUCCUGCCUCAGCCUCCUGAGUAACUGGGAUUACAGGCGUGUGCCACCAUGCCUGGCUAAUUUUUGUAUUUUUUUUAGUAGAGAUGGGAUUUCACCAUGUUGGUCAGGCUGGACUCGAGCUCCUGACCUCAUGAUCUGCCCACCUCAGCCUCCCAAAGUGCUGGGAUUACAUGCAUGAACCACUGCGCCCGGCUAAACCAUGGCUGUUUUUAAAGCCUGUGCUCAUAAACACCUCACUGUCACAUGGUCUUCCUCUUGCUACAAGCAGCUGAGCUUAGUAUAAGAAAAUAGCAUUUCUCACACCAGUCUUUCUUUAUGGUUAACCAGACCACUAGACCUUCAGACGGCCUUCGUGGGUUGCAGGUUGAGUGUUUGUUGACAGAAAGGGAUAAAGAACAAAGUCAUAAUGCAUGUGAUAUAUGGGGAAGUGAAAGAACAACUUUAAGUCCAUUUGGUUAAGAAUAGGAAUAUGAACUUAUGAGGCCAACCCCACCUGGGGUUUCUGGCGUGGGAAGGGGCUGCCUCAUCAGUGCAGGGUCACCCAUAAGCAGGCAUGGGCACUGGCAGAGCAGGGGCACCAAAAGAAUCCCAGUACCAUUACAUGGGUGAUGUUGGCUAUUUGAUAUUUUGAAAAACAUCUAAAAUGUGUCAUUGUAGGAAAAACCAGAACUUUGCUGGACUUCUUUACAGGCAUGUGCAUGAUGGCAUUGUUUCCUACAUUAAAUUACGUAUGGAAGCACCAUCAACUUUGCAGUGCCCAGAGUCUCUGAAGAUCUUAAUCUGGCCCUGCCGAUCAUGGUUGAUGGGGC
rnacentral:lncRNA from 1 species